rnacentral:rRNA from 1 species
UACGUAGGGUGCAAGCGUUAAUCGGAAUUACUGGGCGUAAAGCGUGCGCAGGCGGUUAUGUAAGUCAGAUGUGAAAUCCCCGGGCUCAACCUGGGAACUGCAUUUGUGACUGCAUCGCUGGAGUGCGGCAGAGGGGGAUGGAAUUCCGCGUGUAGCAGUGAAAUGCGUAGAUAUGCGGAGGAACACCGAUGGCGAAGGCAAUCCCCUGGGCAUGCACUGACGCUCAUGCACGAAAGCGUGGGGAGCAAACAGG